rnacentral:rRNA from 1 species
GGCGGCAGGCCUAACACAUGCAAGUCGAGCGGACUCUUCGGAGUUAGUGGCGGACGGGUGAGUAACACGUGGGAACGUGCCUUUAGGUUCGGAAUAACUCAGGGAAACUUGUGCUAAUACCGAAUGUGCCCUUCGGGGGAAAGAUUUAUCGCCUUUAGAGCGGCCCGCGCCUGAUUAGCUUGUUGGUGGGGUAAUGGCCCACCAAGGCUACCAUCAGUAGCUGGUCUGAGAGGAUGACCAGCCACAUUGGGACUGAGACACGGCCCAAACUCCUACGGGAGGCAGCRGUGGGGAAUCUUGCGCAAUGGGCGAAAGCCUGACSCAGCCAUGCCGCUUGUAUGAGGAAGGUCUUAGGAUUGUAAAAUACUUUCGCCGGUGAAGAUAAUGACUGUAGCCGGAGAAGAAGCCCCGGCUAACUUCGUGCCAGCAGCCCCCGGUAAU